GCUCACAUUGUACGCUGGCGGAAUGCUUUACACAUGCAAGUCGAACGGCAGCACGGGAGCUUGCUCCUGGUGGCGAGUGGCGAACGGGUGAGUAAUGCGUCGGAACGUACCGAGUAAUGGGGGAUAACGCAGCGAAAGUUGUGCUAAUACCGCAUACGCCCUGAGGGGGAAAGUGGGGGAUCGCAAGACCUCACGUUAUUCGAGCGGCCGACGUCUGAUUAGCUAGUUGGUGGGGUAAUGACUCACCAAGGCGACGAUCAGUAGCGGGUCUGAGAGGAUGAUCCGCCACACUGGGACUGAGACACGGCCCAGACUCCUACGGGAGGCAGCAGUGGGGAAUUUUGGACAAUGGGGGCAACCCUGAUCCAGCCAUUCCGCGUGAGUGAAGAAGGCCUUCGGGUUGUAAAGCUCUUUCAGCUGGAACGAAACGGUUCGCUCUAACAUAGCGGGCUAAUGACGGUACCAGCAGAAGAAGCACCGGCUAACUACGUGCCUAGCAGCCGCGGUAAUACGUAGGGUGCGAGCGUUAAUCGGAAUUUACUGGGCGUAAAGCGUGCGCAGGCGGAUUGUUUAGCAAGAUGUGAAAUCCCCGGGCUUAACCUGGGUAAUGGCAUUUUGAACUGGCAGUCUAGAGUGCGUCAGAGGGGGGUGGAAUUCCACGUGUAGCAUUGAAAUGCGUAGAGAUGUGGAGGAACACCAAUGGCGAAGG
rnacentral:rRNA from 1 species